UCUAAAAAAUGGACUCGCCCUUUAAGUCAUAGAGGGCUAUUAAAGAUGUACAAUGCAUAAAAUCUAAGUUCAGAGCAACAUCAUCUAUUCCAGGUCUCCUUUUACAAAAAUAAUCACUGAUAAAUCAGACACAUUUCUGUCAUCAUCAUUGUUGUUGCAUCAUAUUCAGUAAAUGAAGUCAUAGGUCUGUACAUAAUCACUGUUCAGAACAUACCGAGUAUAUUUAACCAUAGUAAAGUAAGUAAGUAAAGUAAAGUAAAGUAAGUAAAGUACUACAGAUCUGAUGCCACAGUUCAGUGAAACAGAGACAACAUUUUUGCCAUUUAUUCUGAAAAUGUAACAUUAAAUGUUGCUUCAUGGGCUUCAAUUCUUAUAGUCAAAAUAAUGGCACUGGAAUGUUGACAUGUUCACAAAUGUCAGUAAUUUUCCAUUGUCAUUAUAUUAGAGGUGCCCUGUGGAGUUUUCUUUGAAAAAAAAACAAAAGUAUGUUCACAUUCACUGUUUCUCGCCAAAAUGCACUGUUUGUUCUUGAGCUCCAAAGAUUGUGUUGAAAGCAUUUUGUUUUAAAACAUUUGCAAAGCCAUUUUUUUUUACAGCAGCAGCAUUAAAAAAUAUACUUAAACUGGUGAUUUAUACAAAUUAAACAAAUGUGAUAGAAGUAAUUUAAAUCUCUGCUUAUGUUAAAUCAUUCUGUUUCUCUCCUGCAGACGGUUCAUAAUCAAAUUGUUCAAGAGUAUCGCAAAAUAAAAAAGUCCAACCCCAAUUACAACCAGGACAAGAUUCGCUGUGAAUAUCUGCACAACAAACUGGCCCACAUCAAGAAGCUCAUAUCAGAGUACGACCGACAACAGCUCUGACUGUGAGAGCAGAGAACUUCGAGUCCGAUUAUCCCCGAGGCAGGGGAGGUUUACGCUGCUGAGCUGAACGCCAUCGAGCUGGAAGUCUAUGGUCUUCACUGCUGAAUGUGGUCUCAUGAGACCUGCUGGAAAUGUCACUGAGGUUGGGAGCGAAGAGCAGUCGUGGUACGCUGGGAAAAGCCGACCUAUAAUACGAGAUCUUUUCUUAGAAGAUGGGAAAUUGUUGAAAAAAAUGGUUGGACCAAUGAGCUACGAUGAUGUGAUACCGCCAAGGAACAAACAAAGGCUCUUGAUGUUAAAACUUAACUCUUAAACGCGGAUACAUGUGGAGAUGAGGUGCUAAGACUUCGGUCGUUUGUAGAUUUUCACCCCCAGUCACACAUUUUAGCUUUGUUAGUGACUUAAAUAAUUUGGGUAUUUGCUUAUGUGUUCUGUUUGCCAUGUCAGCAUUAAUGUUCAAGUGGGAAGCAUGUCAACUGCACGCUGCACAAACCCAGACAGCUCUUAUGAAGGGCAGCUGGGAAGCAGGUGUGCACAUCCUGAGAAGAUAUCUGUUCUUUGGGUUUGGUGAAUUCAGACUGUAUCAGUGUUGUUUUGUCAGUUCUCCUCAGUUCAGGUCUGAUCUGCUGCGUAAUGACUCUUGAAAGUAUUUCCAGUGCCUGAAAUGGUUUCCAAUUCUGGACUUAGUAUUCCUCUGAUGUUCUCCCUCGUGUGGUUCCUGGAUGUUGGACACGAUAUAAACUAUAGAAAGCACUAUAUGAAGUUGUAUUCAGGGACUUUAGCUGUGGUAAAAGAGUAACUGAUAACUGCUUUUAAUAAUCAAAGCACCGAAAGCUACAGAGUCGUUACCGUCGGCUGAGACGGUGAAGAACUGAGAAAUAGAAAGAUUUUGUUGCAUGCUGUGUACUUUACGGAAGCAUGAGAAAUAAAUCAGAAGUUUUGUCAGUUUCAAAUAAAUUCAUUUAUAUUAAUUGCGUAUGGUA